CCUACGGGAGGCAGCAGUGGGGAAUAUUGGACAAUGGGGGCAACCCUGAUCCAGCCAUGCCGCGUGUGUGAAGAAGGCCCUCGGGUUGUAAAGCACUUUCAGUGAGGAAGAACGCCUGGUGGUUAAUACCCAUCAGGAAAGACAUCACUCACAGAAGAAGCACCGGCUAACUCCGUGCCAGCAGCCGCGGUAAUACGGAGGGUGCGAGCGUUAAUCGGAAUUACUGGGCGUAAAGCGCGCGUAGGUGGCUUGAUAAGCCGGUUGUGAAAGCCCCGGGCUCAACCUGGGAACGGCAUCCGGAACUGUCAAGCUAGAGUGCAGGAGAGGAAGGUAGAAUUCCCGGUGUAGCGGUGAAAUGCGUAGAGAUCGGGAGGAAUACCAGUGGCGAAGGCGGCCUUCUGGACUGAAACUGACACUGAGGUGCGAAAGCGUGGGUAGCAAACAGGAUUAGAUACCCUAGUAGUC
rnacentral:rRNA from 1 species